rnacentral:tRNA from 1 species
UUAACUAAAACCAAAUAGAGGUAUAUUAUUGUUAAUAAUAUUAUUGAAUAUUAUAAAUCUUCUAGUUGAA